AAUCAACGCUGGCGGCGUGCCUAACACAUGCAAGUCGAACGCGAAAGGGACUUCGGUCCUGAGUAGAGUGGCGAACGGGUGAGUAACGCGUGGGUGAUCUACCCUCGAGUGGGGGAUAACGUUCCGAAAGGGACGCUAAUACCGCAUGAUGUUCCGGGUUUGAAGACCUGGAAACCAAAGCCGGGGACCGCAAGGCCUGGCGCUCAAGGAGGAGCCCGCGUCUGAUUAGCUAGUUGGCGGGGUAAUGGCCCACCAAGGCGACGAUCAGUAGCCGGCCUGAGAGGGCGGACGGCCACACUGGGACUGAGACACGGUCCAGACUCCUACGGGAGGCAGCAGUGGGGAAUAUUGCGCAAUGGGCGAAAGCCUGACGCAGCCACGCCGCGUGAGCGAUGAAGGCCUCGGUC
rnacentral:rRNA from 1 species